rnacentral:lncRNA from 1 species
CUCGAAUGUCUUCGUUUUGAGCGGAAGAAUUGAUGUCCAUGAGAAUUUCUCAAAAUUUGGACCAUUAUAUCUCUUCCAGGUUGACCAAUUUGGUCAAACCAAAGCCUAUAUGAGUCGGUGUCCCAAAUAUCAUGUUUGGCGACAACAUGGGAUUCGAUAUUCGAAUCGUAGUGACAUACAGUUCACUAGAUUGACUCAUGAAUUUCUCUAAGAUACGCUUCAGUUCGCAUUCAUGAGGAGGUAUACACAAAAGAAUUCUUGUUCAUUCUCACAAUGUGUUUUCAAAUGAAAACCAUUAGCAUGAAUGUCUUUAAAGCUCAAUAACAUGGUUCCUUAGAAUGUUGUGGAUAGUUCCACUAUCUGCGAAGCACUCAAUGUCUCUAUGAGACAUAACUACAAGGAGUAGAUAGGCGAGUAAAUAGUACUACUUGAACCAUUUAGAAGGAUUGAAAGAAGCUACGAAAAGCUGCAAUCCCGAGAGUGCAUAAAAAUUUCCGCGCAGAAUGACCUUUACGUACUAAAACAGCCAUAACUUCUUCGUUAAAAUAGAUAUGGACGAACUGUGAAAAUUUCUGAAAACUAGACUCAUAGAGCUUUCCAAUGAUAUAAAGCUCACUGUCUGGUUCGUCCGGAGCUGUUCACAAAGCUCAAACGAAGUUGACUGUCCAGAAGAGACAGAUUGCUGUUUUUCGCAGAUUUGGCAUGUGCGAAGCUGUGAAGCUUGCAGGUGGCGUGUAGGCUUUUGCCUUAGCCAAAAGUGACGUGUGUAUGAUCAAAACCAAGUCCUUUCGAUCGUUCUAAGGUCGUAAACUCUAUGACUAGUUAGCAAAAGCUCCUUGACAUGAACAUAAACUAACUCAGAGGACCUAGAGGAUCCGAUUAUGAUGAUAAUUUUCCAGCUUUGAUAAGUCUUCAACGUCUUUUGCAAGACGGCAAUUGGUUUAAUAGCGUAGGGGGAUCCAAAAUCAAAAGUUUUCGGUAACUCCAAGUCAGUAUGACCAGGCAUGUCCGUGGAGGGUCGGUAGUGCGAGGCACACUUAAAACCACUAUCUCCUUAAUUUCAGACAAUUCUAAGACAUCAUACUGAGCUUGGAUGAGCCUAGUUGAACAAUUGAUGAUGAAAAAUCCGCUAUAGGGUAGAAGACUUAACCGGAAACACGUGGGCGAUCCUCCUUGAGGAUGCAGUGCCAAGAGUCAC